rnacentral:rRNA from 1 species
GAACGCUAGCUACAGGCUUAACACAUGCAAGUCGAGGGGCAUCAGGAAGAAAGCUUGCUUUCUUUGCUGGCGACCGGCGCACGGGUGAGUAACACGUAUCCAACCUGCCCUUUACUCGGGGAUAGCCUUUCGAAAGAAAGAUUAAUACCCGAUGGCAUAAUGAUUCCGCAUGGUUUCAUUAUUAAAGGAUUCCGGUAAAGGAUGGGGAUGCGUUCCAUUAGGUUGUUGGUGAGGUAACGGCUCACCAAGCCUUCGAUGGAUAGGGGUUCUGAGAGGAAGGUCCCCCACAUUGGAACUGAGACACGGUCCAAACUCCUACGGGAGGCAGCAGUGAGGAAUAUUGGUCAAUGGGCGCUAGCCUGAACCAGCCAAGUAGCGUGAAGGAUGAAGGCUCUAUGGGUCGUAAACUUCUUUUAUAUAAGAAUAAAGUGCAGUAUGUAUACUGUUUUGUAUGUAUUAUAUGAAUAAGGAUCGGCUAACUCCGUGCCAGCAGCCGCGGUAAUACGGAGGAUCCGAGCGUUAUCCGGAUUUAUUGGGUUUAAAGGGAGCGUAGGUGGACUGGUAAGUCAGUUGUGAAAGUUUGCGGCUCAACCGUAAAAUUGCAGUUGAUACUGUCAGUCUUGAGUACAGUAGAGGUGGGCGGAAUUCGUGGUGUAGCGGUGAAAUGCUUAGAUAUCACGAAGAACUCCGAUUGCGAAGGCAGCUCACUGGACUGCAACUGACACUGAUGCUCGAAAGUGUGGGUAUCAAACAGGAUUAGAUACCCUGGUAGUCCACACAGUAAACGAUGAAUACUCGCUGUUUGCGAUAUACAGUAAGCGGCCAAGCGAAAGCAUUAAGUAUUCCACCUGGGGAGUACGCCGGCAACGGUGAAACUCAAAGGAAUUGACGGGGGCCCGCACAAGCGGAGGAACAUGUGGUUUAAUUCGAUGAUACGCGAGGAACCUUACCCGGGCUUAAAUUGCAGUGGAAUGAUGUGGAAACAUGUCAGUGAGCAAUCACCGCUGUGAAGGUGCUGCAUGGUUGUCGUCAGCUCGUGCCGUGAGGUGUCGGCUUAAGUGCCAUAACGAGCGCAACCCUUAUCUUUAGUUACUAACAGGUUAUGCUGAGGACUCUAGAGAGACUGCCGUCGUAAGAUGUGAGGAAGGUGGGGAUGACGUCAAAUCAGCACGGCCCUUACGUCCGGGGCUACACACGUGUUACAAUGGGGGGUACAGAAGGCAGCUAGCGGGUGACCGUAUGCUAAUCCCAAAAGCCUCUCUCAGUUCGGAUCGAAGUCUGCAACCCGACUUCGUGAAGCUGGAUUCGCUAGUAAUCGCGCAUCAGCCACGGCGCGGUGAAUACGUUCCCGGGCCUUGUACACACCGCCCGUCAAGCCAUGGGAGCCGGGGGUACCUGAAGUACGUAACCGCAAGGAUCGUCCUAGGGUAAAACUGG